AACUGAAGUCCCUCCGCAGACCCAGAGGUUCCGGCCCUCUUCUGUAUGGAGUCAAAUGGAAGAAGCUGGUAUUUGAAUGGUAUUUGGUAAUGGAAGAAGCCGGUA